rnacentral:misc_RNA from 1 species
GAAAUGCGAUAGUAAUGUGAAUUGCAGAAUUCAGUGAAUCAUCGAAUCUUUGAACGCACCUUGCGCUCCUUGGUAUUCCUUGGAGCAUGCCUGUUUGAGUAUCAUGAAAUCUUCAAAGUAAAUCUUUUGUUAACUCAAUUGGUUUCUACUUUGGUAUUGGAGGUCUUUGCAGCUUCACACCUGCUCCUCUUUGUUCAUUAGCUGGAUCUCAGUGUUAUGCUUGGUUCCACUCGGCGUGAUAAGUUAUCUAUCGCUGAGGACACUGUAAAAGGUGGCCAAGGUAAAUGCAGAUGAACCACUUCUAAUAGUCCAUUGACUUGGACAAUACUUUUAUGAUCUGAUCUCAAAUCAGGUAGGACUACCCGCUGAACUUAAGC